UCGGUACCCACGCUAUGUAAGACUUUGUAUGUGACAAAUUUUAUAUCCAGCCCUACUGGAAUACAACUGGAUCUAUGAAAUGUAAUUACAAAUAAAUCCCAUAGGCACCACAGCAACCACAGCUACAGCCUUGUCAUCGGGGUCAUCGGGGUCAUCAGUGUGCGCCGAAGCGCCGAAUACCGUCAAAAACGUCAAAAACUUUUCUCAAAAUUUGAACGGUGACGUCGGUCGAAUGUUGGUAAUAAGUGGCUAUAUGAGGGAAUUUAAUCAUCCAUGUGCGCAACUGUGGCGACGCCGAAUGGAAACUACGUAACUACGCCAUGGAACACUAGUUCGUCGCAAAGGUCGCAACGGUCGCAACGUUUACAAAGUUCACCACUUUUACCAACCUUUACCAUUACCAUUAGGUUACGCACACAGGAGCAGUGUGUUAGUAGCCGUUUAACAUGCGUUAACAAAAGCAGGACAAAAAUUAUUUUAGACUAUUCACUUAAUAAGUGAAGUGGAAGUACCUGUAUUAGAGCACAAGGGGAUCUGUAAACUGAUGAGAUUGCCUGUGCUGUCUCCAUGGAAACCCGAUUAAACUGACACAACUGCUGCUGCCAGAGUCUGAGGAGGCCAUUACCAUUCUUA